AGCUCGUCAAUAUGUGUAGACGUGGUAGC
rnacentral:sRNA from 1 species